GAACAAUCCGACAGCGACUCUGAAACCGCUGAACGUGGUCCUGAGCAGCCAGCCGAACAACCCACGACCGACGAAGAGAACGCCCCACCUCCUGCACCUGUACAGA